UGGGGAAUAUUGCACAAUGGGCGCAAGCCUGAUGCAGCAACGCCGCGUGAGGGAUGACGGCCUUCGGGUUGUAAACCUCUUUUAGCAGGGAGGAAGCGAAAGUGACGGUACCUGCAGAAAAAGCACCGGCUAACUACGUGCCAGCAGCCGCGGUAAUACGUAGGGUGCAAGCGUUGUCCGGAAUUAUUGGGCGUAAAGAGCUCGUAGGCGGUCUGUCGCGUUUGCUGUGAAAUCCCGAGGCUCAACCUCGGGCCUGCAGUGGGUACGGGCAGACUAGAGUGCGGUAGGGGAGAAUGGAACUCCUGGUGUAGCGGUGGAAUGCGCAGAUAUCAGGAAGAACACCGAUGGCGAAGGCAGUUCUCUGGGCCGUAACUGACGCUGAGGAGCGAAAGCGUGGGGAGCGAACAGGAUUAGAUACCCUGGUAGUCCACGCCGUAAACGUUGGGCGCUAGAUGUGGGGCACCAUUCCACGGUUUCCGUGUCGCAGCUAACGCAUU
rnacentral:rRNA from 1 species